UACAGAGGGUGCGAGCGUUGUCCGGAAUCACUGGGCGUAAAGGGCGCGUAGGUGGUGGCUUAAGCGUGCGGUGAAAGCUCGGGGCUCAACCCCGAGUCGGCCGUGCGAACUGGGCUCACUGGAGCAUAGUAGAGGCAGGUGGAAUUCCGGGUGUAGCGGUGAAAUGCGUAGAUAUCGGGAGGAACACCUGUGGCGAAAGCGGCUCACUGGACCACAACUGACGCUGAGGCGCGAAAGCGUGGGGAGCAAACAGG
rnacentral:rRNA from 1 species